rnacentral:rRNA from 1 species
AAUUAGUACCAGUACCGUAAACCGACACAGGUAGUUGAGGAGAGAAUCCUAAGGUGCUCGAGAGAUUCAUGGCUAAGGAAUUAGGCAAAAUAGACCUGUAACUUCGGGAGAAAGGUCGCCAGCGCAAGCUGGCCGCAGUGAAGAGGUCCAGGCGACUGUUUAUCAAAAACACAGGGCUCUGCAAAAUCGUAAGAUGAAGUAUAGGGCCUGACACCUGCCCGGUGCUGGAAGGUUAAGAGGAGAUGUUAUCUUCGGAGAAGCAUUGAAUUGAAGCCCCAGUAAACGGCGGCCGUAACAAUAACGGUCCUAAGGUAGCGAAAUUCCUUGUCGGGUAAGUUCCGACCUGCACGAAUGGUGUAACGAUCUGGACACUGUCUCAGCCAUGAGCUCGGUGAAAUUGUAGUAACGGUGAAGAUGCCGUUUACCCGCAGUGGGACGAAAAGACCCUGUGCACCUUUACUAUAGCUUAGUAUUGACCUUGGAUAAAUGAUGUGUAGGAUAGGUUGGAGACUGUGAAGUGGCGUCGCCAGGCGUUGUGGAGUCAUUGUUGAAAUACAACCCUUUGUUUAUCUGAGGCCUAACCCCGUUUUGCGGGGGACAUUGCUUGGUGGGUAGUUUGACUGGGGUGGUCGCCUCCAAAAGAGUAACGGAGGCUUCUAAAGGUUCCCUCAGUACGCUUGGUAACCGUGCGUAGAGUGCAAUGGCAUAAGGGAGCUUGACUGAGAGACAUACAGGUCGAUCAGGUACGAAAGUAGAGCAUAGUGAUCCGGUGGUUCCGCAUGGAAGGGCCAUCGCUCAAAGGAUAAAAGGUACGCCGGGGAUAACAGGCUGAUCUCCCCCAAGAGCUCAUAUCGACGGGGGGGUUUGGCACCUCGAUGUCGGCACGUCACAUCCUGGGGCUGGAGAAGGUCCCAAGGGUUGGGCUGUUCGCCCAUUAAAGUGGCACGCGAGCUGGGUUCAGAACGUCGUGAGACAGUUCGGUCUCUAUCUACUGUGGGCGUUAGAAAUUUGAGUGGAUCUGAUUCUAGUACGAGAGGACCGAAUUGGACAAACCUCUAGUGUAUCUGUUGUCCCGCCAGGGGCACCGCAGAGUAGCUACGUUUGGAAGGGAUAAGCGCUGAAAGCAUAUAAGCGCGAAACCCACCACAAGAUGAGAUUUCUUUUAAGGAUCGUGGAAGAUGACCACGUUGAUAGGCUAUAGAUGUAAAGGCAGUAAUGUCAUAGUCGAGUAGUACUAAUAAUCC